UACGUAGGGUGCGAGCGUUGUCCGGAAUUAUUGGGCGUAAAGAGCCCGUAGGUGGUUUGCCGCGUCGUCUGUGAAAUUCCGGGGCUUAACUCCGGACGUGCAGUGGAUACGGGCAGACUGGAGUGCUGUAGGGGUGACUGGAAUUCCUGGUGUAGCGGUGGAAUGCGCAGAUAUCAGGAGGAACACCGAUGGCGAAGGCAGGUCUCUGGGCAGUUACUGACACUGAGGGGCGAAAGCAUGGGUAGCGAACAGG
rnacentral:rRNA from 1 species